GAUGAACGCUGGCGGCGUGCCUAAUACAUGCAAGUCGAGCGAACAGACGAGGAGCUUGCUCCUCUGACGUUAGCGGCGGACGGGUGAGUAACACGUGGAUAACCUACCUAUAAGACUGGGAUAACUUUGGGAAACCGGCGCUAAUCCCGGAUAAUAUAUUGAACCGCAUGGUUCAAUAGUGAAAGACGGUUUUGCUGUCACUUAUAGAUGCAUCCGGGCCGCAUUAGCUAGUUGGGACGGUAACGGCUUACCAAGGCGACGAUGCGUAGACGACGUGAGAGGGUGAUCGCCGACAUGGGAGCUGAGACACGGUCCAGACUACUACGGGACGCAGCAGUAGGGAACCGUCCGCAAUGGGCGAAAGUCUGACGGAGCAACGCCGCGUGAGUGAUGAAGGCCUUCGGUUCGGAAAACUCUGUUAUGAGGGAAGAACAAAUGUGUAAGUAACUAUGCCCGUCUUGACGGUACCUAAUCAGAAAGCCACGGCUAACUACGUG
rnacentral:rRNA from 1 species